AAUUUUAGGGGGGGAGAAAUAUCUUCUCAUACUUGAUGAUGUGCAUAAUGAAGAUCCUAAGAAAUGGGAUACUUUAAAAGGUUACUUAUUAGAGUUUAAUUCUAAUAUAGGAAAUAAUAUUGUUGUUACAACCUGUAGUGAUAAUGUGGGGCAAAUCAUGAAGAUACAUCAUCCCCCACAUCACUUAGAGAAGUUAUCAAAAAAUGAUUGUUGGUCUAUAAUGAAAAAAAGAACAUUCAUAGAUGGAAGAACUCCAUUAACUUUAGAUUUGGAGGUUAUUGGUAGGGAAAUUGCAAAAAAAUGUGGAGGGAUUCCAUUGGCUGCAAGAGUUUUAGGGGGAACAAUGUGCUUUCAAUUUGAUAAAAACAAAUGGCAGGAGAUUCAAAAUAAUAAAAUUUGGGAUUUGUUGGAUGAAGAUAAUAGUGAUAUGUUUCCUGUGCUUAAGUUAUGCUUUGAUCAUCUUCCAACACCAUCUUUAAAACGAUGUUUUGCAUAUUGUGCAAUAUUCCCUAAAGACUAUGACAUGAAAAAGGAUGAAGUAAUUCAGUAUUGGAUGGUUGAAGGGUUCCUACUAGCUAAAGAAGCUAAUAUGGAGAUGGAAGAUAUUGGUAACAUGUAUUUCAAUAUUUUGUUGGCCACUUCCUUUUUCCAAAAUGCUAGAAAGGAUGCCUACGGUAAUAUUAUUAGCUGCAAAAUGUAUGAUUUGGUGCAUGACUUUGCACUCUCAAUUUCAAAAUUUGAAACUUUAAUCUUGGAGGGAGAUUCAGUGGAUGAUGGUAGUAGCAUACAACAUUUAUUUGCCCGACAUGAUGGUAAAACAACACUAAGUUCAUUUACAAAAUUGCGCACGUUAAUUUCAGAAAAUUUCAACUUUGACAUCAUGUCAUCAAAUUUUAAAUGCUUACGCGUUUUAAAAUUAUUCGGGGAUAGUAUAAAGGAGUUGCCAGAUUCAAUUGAGCAAUUAAUACAUUUGAGGCUUCUUCAAAUCUCAGACUCCAUAAUUGAAAAAUUACCAAAAUCCAUCACCAAACUAUACAAUUUGCAAACUUUAAGAAUUGAAGGCGGCCGCCAUGUAAGAGAGCUUCCGGAAGACCUAUGCAAUUUGAUUAACUUGAGACAUAUUCAUAUUAAUUGGGGUUGUUUUAUAAAAACACCUAAAAAUAUGAGUAUGUUGACUUGCCUUCAAACAUUGCCAUUUUUUGGUGUGGGUUCAGAGGAUGGUUAUCGGAUUACAGAAUUGGGAGCUUUAAAGAAUCUCAAAGGAGAAAUAGUAAUAAAGAAUCUAGAGUACGUGAAAGAUGAGGAAGAAGCCAAAAGUGCAAAAUUAAAAGAAAAGGAAAUAUUCAAGUUGGGAUUACGCUGGGUUAUUUUUCUUAGUAAAGGGGAUAAAGAUGAAAAGGUGUUGGAAGGCCUCCAGCCUCACCCUAAUUUGAAAAGCUUAACAAUCGAAUCGUACGGAGGAAAGAAAUUCCCAUCCUGGGUUGGUUUGUCUUCGCUAUAUCACAAUUUGAUUGAGAUCAAUUUAAGAGAUUGUUUGGAAUGUGAAGAAGUUCCCACUCUGGGGCAAUUACCCUGUCUUAGGGUUCUUGAAAUAAUAGGAAUGUGGAAGGUAAGAUGUAUAGGAAGUGAGUUUUACUUUUACAGUGAUGGGAGUUACAGAAAUACUACUACAAUAUUAUUUCCGGCAUUGAGAAUACUCAAAUUGGAGAAAUUGUAUAAGCUAGAAGAGUGGAAGGAUGCAAAGGAGUUGACAACCGCAGAUGAGGUGUUGUUUGUGUUUCCUUGCCUUGACGAGUUGACCUUACGAGAAUGUAAGAAACUGAGAGAUUUGCCAGACUCACUGCACACCUGCGUUUCCCUUCAGAAGUUGGUAGUACAGAGUUGUCCUAUGCUGAGGUCAUUGCCAGGUGUCCCGUCCAUAAUAAGGAGUGGUAUUGAAGACCCACCCAGUAGUGGGUUACAAUAUUUGGAGAAUGGGGAUUGUCGUCGUCUGCCUUCUUCUUCUACUUCCUCCAUUCACCCCUCCCAGCGGGUUGUUGGUUUGUCUUCGCUAUAUCACAAUUUGAUUGAGAUCAGAUUGAUAUGGUGUACGGAAUGUGAAGAAGUUCCCACUCUGGGGCAAUUACCCUGUCUUCGGGUUCUUGAAAUGGGAGGAAUGGGGAAGGUAAGAUGUAUAGGAAGUGAGUUUUACUUUUACAUUGAUGGGAGUUACAGAAAUACUACUACAAAAUUAUUUCCGGCAUUGAGAAUACUCAAAUUGGUGCGUAUGGAUUCCCUAGAAGAGUGGAAGGAUGCAAAGGAGUUGACAACCGCAGAUGAGGUGUUGUUUGUGUUUCCUUGCCUUCAGGAGCUUACAUUAUAUACAUGUGGGAAACUGAGAGAUUUGCCAGACUCACUGCACACCUGCGUUUCCCUUCAGAAGUUGGUAGUUGACAGAUGUCCUAAGCUGAGGUCAUUGCCAGGUGUCCGGUCCAGUGGGUUACAAUAUUUGGAGAAUGGGGAUUGUCGUCGUCUGCCUUCUUCUUCUACUUCCUCCAUUCACCCCUCCCUCCAAAAGCUCAAAUUGUAUGGGUCUGUCCUGUUCCUGGACCAAAUUCAAUACUUCAUUGCCCUUAAAAUUCUGUGGAUAGAGGAAUUUCAUGAGAUGGUAGCUUUGCCAGAGUGGUUGGGCAAUCUUUCCUCUCUUCAACGUCUGUAUAUUGUGCAUUGCUGGUAUCUGGCGCAUCUGCCCACCGAGGAAGCCAUGCGACGCCUCACCCAAUUGAAAACGCUGAUCAUUUAUCGUUGCAACUACUUUGAUGAAGACAAUGAGCGGAUCAAGAUUAGCCACGUUCCAUGGGUUAAAAUCAAUAAUCCUCAGUACCCGCUGUGUUGCGAAGAUUUUGAAGACUAACUCAGAAAGAUAGCAAGAAGUUUGCCUUUGGAAAAAUAAUUAACUUGAUGACAACUGAUGCCCAGGCACUUCAGGUGACAUUCUGGUGGUUUCUCUAGAUCAAGCAAAUGGUCUGAGGAUAGUUCUCAAUAUCUUAAGCAUAAGUUGCACUGCCAUCAUUGAAAAUUUUGCAAUACUAAAGUUGCUGUGUAUGGGAGAGGAGGAUUCUAGAAAAAAUUUCUACAAAACCAGAUACGUUCAAGCCAAAAUUGGAAGGUUGUUUCAACUCCAAUUUUGAUGAAAUUUCCUAAUGAAGAGAGCUUCAUGUUGACUGGUGACUGGUGUUGUUACUUGAAAUUCCUCUCCAUUUGCUCAAAUGCUAAAGCCCACUUGGUGGGAUCUUUUCUUCUUUUUAUUGUCGGUAUCUUAGUGUGAUGAAUAUUUGUUGUAAUCCAAGAAUGACAUGUUUUUGUUGUCUUUGUAGCUGAUAGCGUUUGUUUUAGAGAAGAUUGUUGUAAACUCAUAUUCUAUAGUGAAAGAUUUUACUGGACUAGGUCCCGUGGUUUUUUCCUUCUCAUUGAAGGGUUUUCCACGUAAAAUUUGGUGUCUUGAUUAUGGAUUGUUGCUGAAUUUUUUAUUUAUAUUUGUUAUUGUGCUUUGCUAAUU